CUUGUGUCCCACCUUUAUUUUCUUCCUCUUGUAAAAGAGAACACGUCAAUCCGUCCGCCAUGUUGGAAGAGGAGACAGCAGCCAGGGAAUAUUCAAGUUCGUCAGAGGAGCUGCUGUUAGAAUCAGAAGCGGUUUAAGAGCAGCGAAGCUGUUGGACACUAACCGCUACCUGAUCUCGCCCAGGCACUCUGGGACUUCCCGCUACCUGUUAUCCGUUUGUGGCACCUGAAAGUGAAUAUAAAGCAUUUAGUAGAUAUCGCAUCUAAAAGGCUUCUCUCCUGUGUGCACUCUGGUGUGUAUUUUAAGCUCUACGGGUCUACGAAAUGUUUUCCCACAAACAUCACAAGCAAAAGGUUUUUCAGCUGCAUGGACCACCAUAUGAUUCACAAG